GUUCUAACGAAGAGUCCCAAACUAGGACGAAACAGCUGUCCAGUAC
rnacentral:hammerhead_ribozyme from 1 species